rnacentral:rRNA from 1 species
ACGGGGAAUUAGGGUUCGAUUCCGGAGAGGGAGCCUGAGAAACGGCUACCACAUCUAAGGAAGGCAGCAGGCGCGCAAAUUACCCAAUCCUAAUACAGGGAGGUAGUGACAAGAAAUAACAAUACAGGACUUUUUGGUUUUGUAAUUGGAAUGAGUUAAGUAUAAACCCCUUUACAAGUAUCAAUUGGAGGGCAAGUCUGGUGCCAGCAGCCGCGGUAAUUCCAGCUCCAAUAGCGUAUAUUAAAGUUGUUGCAGUUAAAAAGCUCGUAGUUGGAUUUCUGUUAAUAAUUUAUAUAUUAUACUUUUUAAGGUGUUUAUAUAAUAUUAACAUAAUUCAUAUUACUAUAUUUUUUUAGUAUAUGAAAUUUUACUUUGAGAAAAUUAGAGUGCUUAAAGCAGGCGUUAGCCUUGAAUACUCCAGCAUGGAAUAAUAUUAAAGAUUUUUAUCUUUCUUAUUGGUUCUAAGAUAAGAAUAAUGAUUAAUAGGGACAGU